GAUGAACGCUGGCGGCGUGCUUAACACAUGCAAGUCGAACGAGGCACUCUAUUUGAUUUCCUUCGGGACUGAUUAUUUUGUGACUGCGUGGCUGAGGGGUGAGUAAAGCGUGCGUAACCUGCCUUGUACAGGGGGAUUGCAGUUGGACACGGCUGCUAAUACCGCAUAAUCGCCCGGCAUCGCAUGAUGCAGUGUGAAAAACUAAGGUGGAAUAAGAUGGACCCGCGUUGGAUUAGCUAGUUGGUGAGGUAACGGCCCACCAAGGCGACGAUCCAUAGCCGAUCUGAGAGGGUGACCGGCCACAUUGGGACUGAGACACGGCCCAAACUCCUACGGGAGGCAGCAGUGGGGAAUAUUGCACAAUGGGCGAAAGCCUGAUGCAGCGACGCCGCGUGAGCGAAGAAGGAUUUCGGUAUGUAAAGCUCUAUUAGCAGGGAAGAUAAUGACGGUACCUGACUAAGAAGCUCCGGCUAAAUACGUG
rnacentral:rRNA from 1 species